rnacentral:sRNA from 1 species
CACAGUACAGGCUGGAGAGAGGGCAGGCUCGAAGGCUUCUGCACAUGCUGCUUUCCUUGUGGAAGGAAGACUUUCAGGGGCCGGUUCCGCUGCAGCUGCUGCUGAGCCCAAGAAAUGUGGGGCUUCUGGCAGACACAAGGCCAAGGGAGGUGAGUCAGACGGAACAAGAAGCCCUCUGCAGUCACACUCUGAACAUCCACCACCCUUGCCCCAAACUAUGAGCUGCUCUGCAUCCUUUAUUUCCCCUUCCUGUUCCACACAGAAAUGGGCUCCACUUAUCCAUCUCAAGUCUCUUCCCAGCAGCUCUGCCCUUUGAGAUCUCAAUCUCUGUCAUCAGGGUCACUCUGCCGUCCUCCUAGCAACCCUGACCUCGGUGUGUUUUGCAGUGGGACUUGCUGCUAUUCUUGCUCCGGGAGCUGGUGGAGAAGGGUCUGAUGGGACGGAUGGAGAUAGAGGCCUGCCUGGGCAGCCUCCACCAGGCCCUGUGGCCAGGGGUAAGGAGUCUCCUGUCUUUUAGGUGGAGAGAGAACAGGUGUUACAUAUCCCAUCUGUCCUGAAAGGAAGCAAGUGAUGGGGCCAAACUAAGUGGAUUUUUGUCAAGAGUCUUCAGGGCCACCCUGAAAUUGUCCCGAUUUGAGUAGUUAUUAUAUGAGGGACUGUGUUAGUGGGAAGACGGACGAAAGGCAGGCAGUUAGUUGGAAAGCAGCACAGCCCAUUAUAUGGGUUUUUAAAAUUAGAAUAACCUGGAUUUUAAUGGGAAUAAUAAUUUCAAGAUGAAGUAGAUGCACUCAGCAGUACUCAAAAACUGGUCAAGCCUGUGCCUCCAUCAGAGUUCGCUCCCUGCCAUAACUUCAGCCUCCCAGAGUACUAACAAACAGACAAGGUUUCAUGUCCAUUUCAGUGUGGAGGGCAGUUGAGAAAAAAUAAUGUAGCCAGCCAGGUUGUGGUCUUUAGUGAAAAAGGAUGAGCCAUUGAGAAUUAUUACAUGCUGCCUUUUCCCUCAUCUUUCUUUCCAUGUAUUCCAGGACUUUGCUGAAGAAUUAGCAACACUGUCUAAUCUGUUUCUAGCCGAGCCCCACCUGCCAGAACCCCAGCUAAGAGCUUGUGAGUUGGUGCAGCCAAACCGGGGCACUGUGCUGGCCCAGAGCUAGGGCUGAGAAGUGGCCCUGCCUUGGGCAUCGCACCAGAACCCUGGACCCCCGCCUCACGAGGAGGCCCAAGUGCCCAAUGCAGACCCUCACUGGUUGGGGUGUAGCUGGGUCUACAGUCAGACUUCCUGCUCUAAGGGUGUUGCUGCCUGGCAUCCCACCACGCGAAUCCUAGAGGAAGGAGAGUUGGCCUGAUUCGGGAUUAUGGCAGAAAAGCCCAGAGAUGCCAGUCCUGGAGUAGAAGAGGUGGUGUUUGUUUAUCUCUUGGAUGCUAAAUGAAAUGAGGUGUGUGGGCUUGUCAACACAGAAUUCAAGCCUCAUUUGCUAUCCCAGCAUCUCUUAAAACUUUGUAGUCUUGGAAUUCAUGACAGAGGCAAAUGACUUCUGCUUAACUUAUGAAGAAAGUUAAAACAUGAAUCUUGGGAGUCUACAUUUUCUUAUCACCAGGAGCUGGACUGCCAUCUCCUUAUAAAUGCCUAACACAGGCCGGGUCUGGUGGCUCAUGCCUGUAAUCCCAGCACUUUGAGAGGCCCGAGGUCGGCGGACUGCCUGAGGUCAGGAAUUCAAGACCAGCCUGGCCAACAUGGCAAAACCCCGUCUCUACUAAAAAUAAAAAAAUUAUUAGCUGGGCAUGGUGGUGUGUGCCUGUAAUCCCAGCUACUCAGGAGGAUGAGGCAGGAGACCUGCUUGAACCUGGAGGUGGAGGUUGCAGUGAGCCGAGGUCGCACGACUGCACUCCAGUCUGGGUAACAGAGCGAGACUUUCUAGAAAAAGCCUAACAAACAGAUAAGGUAGGACUCAACCAACUGAAACCUGACUUUCCCCCUGUACCUUCAGCCCCUGUGCAGGUAGUAACCUCUUGAGACCUCUCCCUGACCAGGGACCAAGCACAGGGCAUUUAGAGCUUUUUAAAAUAAACUGGUUUUCUUUAC